AUCCAGCUGACGAGUUCCAAAUAGGACGAAACGUGCAUCCUGGAU
rnacentral:hammerhead_ribozyme from 1 species